GUCUUUGGCGUCCGAGUUGUAAUUUGAAGAAGGUAUCUUUGGGCCCGGCUCUUGUCUAUGUUCCUUGGAACAGGACGUCACAGAGGGUGAGAAUCCCGUGCGAUGAGAUGACCCGGGUCUGUGUAAAGUUCCUUCGACGAGUCGAGUUGUUUGGGAAUGCAGCUCUAAGUGGGUGGUAAAUUCCAUCUAAAGCUAAAUAUUGGCGAGAGACCGAUAGCGAACAAGUACAGUGAUGGAAAGAUGAAAAGAACUUUGAAAAGAGAGUGAAAAAGUACGUGAAAUUGUUGAAAGGGAAGGGCUUGAGAUCAGACUUGGUAUUUUGCAUGUUGCUCUCUCGGGGGCGGCCGCUGCGGUUUACCGGGCCAGCAUCGGUUUGGAGCGGCAGGAUAAUGGCGGAGGAAUGUGGCACGGCUUCUGCUGUGUGUUAUAGCCUCUGACGAUACUGCCAGCCUAGACCGAGGACUGCGGUUUUUUACCUAGGAUGUUGGCAUAAUGAUCUUAAGUCGCCCGUCUUGAAACACGGACCAAGGAGUCUAACGUCUAUGCGAGUGUUUGGGUGUAAAACCCGUACGCGUAAUGAAAGUGAACGAAGGUGGGGGCCUAUUAGGGUGCACCAUCGACCGAUCCUGAUGUGUUCGGAUGGAUUUGAGUAAGAGCAUAGCUGUUGGGACCCGAAAGAUGGUGAACUAUGCCUGAAUAGGGUGAAGCCAGAGGAAACUCUGGUGGAGGCUCGUAGCGGUUCUGACGUGCAAAUCGAUCGUC
rnacentral:rRNA from 1 species